rnacentral:rRNA from 1 species
CAGUAGCCGCGGUGAGACAGAGGUCCCGAGCGUUGUUCGGAUUCAUUGGGCGUAAAGGGUGUGUAGGAGGUCAGGUAAGUCGUGUGUGAAAUCUCAGAGCUUAACUCUGAAACUGCGCUCGAUACUGCUUGGCUAGAGGAUCGGAGGGGGUAACGGAAUUCAUGGUGUAGCAGUGAAAUGCGUAGAUAUCAUGAGGAACACCGGUGGCGAAGGCGGUUACCUGGAAGAUUCCUGACUCUGAAACACGAAAGCCAGGGGAGCAAACGGGAUUAGAUACCCCGGUAGUCCCUGUCUCUUAUAC